CCUACGGGAGGCAGCAGUGAGGAAUUUUCCGCAAUGGGCUAACGCCUGACGGAGCAAUGCCGCGUGGAGGAGGAAGGCCUGUGGGUCGUAAACUCCUUUUCUCAGAGAAGAAGAUCUGACGGUAUCUGAGGAAUAAGCAUCGGCUAACUCUGUGCCAGCAGCCGCGGUAAUACAGGGGAUGCAAGCGUUAUCCGGAAUUAUUGGGCGUAAAGCGUCCUGAGGUGGCUUACCCAGUCGACUGUGAAAGCUCAAGGCUCAACCUUGAAACGGCAGUCGAAACUUGUAAGCUUGAGUACGGUAGAGGCAGAGGGAAUUCCCGGAGGAGAGGUGAAAUUCGUAGAUAUCGGGAGGAAGGCCAAAGGCGAAAGCACUCUGCUGGGCCGAUUACUGACACUGACAGACGAAAGCUAGGGGAGCGAAAGGGAUUAGAUACCCCUGUAGUCCUAGCCGUAAACGAUGGAUACUAAGUGUUGCGCGACUCAACUCGUGCAGUGCUGCAGCUAACGCGGUAAGUAUCCCGCCUGGGGAGUNUGCUCGCAAGNGAGAAACUCGAAAGGAUUGACGG
rnacentral:rRNA from 1 species